rnacentral:rRNA from 1 species
GCUAGUAAUGGCAGGUCAGCAUACUGCCGUGAAUACGUUCCCGGGCCUUGUACACACCGCCCGUCACACCAUGAGAGUUGGGGAUACCCGAAGCCUGUGAGCUAACUUUUAGAGGCAGCAGUCGAAGGUAGAAUCAAUGAUUGGGGUGAAGUCGUAACAAGGUAGC